rnacentral:rRNA from 1 species
UUCCUACGGGAGGCAGCAGUGGGGAAUAUUGCACAGUGGGGGGAACCCUGAUGCAGCGACGCCGCGUGAGUGAAGACGUAUUUCGGUAUGUAAAGCUCUAUCAGCAGGGAAGAAGAUGACGGUACCUGACUAAGAAGCCCCGGCUAACUACGUGCCAGCAGCCGCGGCAAUACGGAGGGGGCAAGCGUUAUCCGGAUUUACUGGGUGUAAAGGGGGCGUAGACGGCAGGACAAGUCUGGAGUGAAAGCC